AGCGAACGCUGGCGGCAGGCCUAAUACAUGCAAGUCGAACGGCUCUUCGGAGCAGUGGCGGACGGGUGAGUAACACGUGGGAACGUGCCCUUUGGUACGGAACAACUGAGGGAAACUUCAGCUAAUACCGUAUGUGCCCCCAUUCUUAGCGGGAUGGGUGGGAAAGAUUUAUCGCCAUUGGAGCGGCCCGCGUUGGAUUAGCUAGUUGGUGGGGGAAAGGCCCACCAAGGCUACGAGCCAUAGCUGGUCUGAGAGGAUGAGCAGCCACACUGGGACUGAGACACGCCCCAGACACCUACGGGAGGCAGCAGUAGUGAAUCUUGCGCAAUUGGCGAAAGCCUGACGCAGCCAUGCCGCGUGAAUGAUGAAGGUCUUAGGAUUGUAAAAUUCUUUCACCGGGGAAGAUAAUGACGGUACCCGGAGAAGAAGCCCCGGCUAACUUCGUGCCAGCCGCCGCGGUAA
rnacentral:rRNA from 1 species